GUUGAGCUCCAGCACCGCGUAGUAAUCCUGCCCCAUGGCGCCCGGCCCGCUCUGCCCCACUCGCCCGUUGCUAUGGACGCCGCCCCGCGCGGCAUUCUGGGAGUUGUAGUUCUUUUUUCCUCCCCGCACCGGCGGUCACUUCCGGACUACAGAGCCUUCACCAAUGAGCCCUCCCAAACUCCUGGCCUACUGAAGCAGGACUUCAAGGUGAUGCCAGAGAUUCUUGGAAGGGUAAUGCCCCAUGAUGUCCACAAAGGAUUACAAUGGCAUGAUCAUUAGGAUAUUCUGAAGAGGAUCUGCUUACACUGGUAUCUCCGUAUUAACAAUUGGAAAUCCUACUGGUACCACCAUGGACAGGGCGGUUUGCUACUGACAGAAGCUCAUGAACUUCCCCAAAUGCUACUUUAUAGUAGAUACUGAAACUCAGCAAAAGUCUGAAGAGAAAUGGGAAUAUUUGAAUUUUUUUAUUUUCUGAGAUUGGAAGGAAAGAAAUCAGCAGCCUUCGGAAUAUGUAUUAGCUCCUAAGCUCGCCAUAGAACAACACUGGCUUAGCUGAAAAUGCAGCACUUUCCCUGAAGGAAAACUGGAGGAAGAGGGAAGACGACACAUUAGUAAAUGGUGGGUGGUCCUGUUGAACAGCACUGUUGGGCACGUUUGUUGGUCCAGCAGGUAUGUCCAUUUUCCUUCAGAUUUGCCAUUAUAAAGAUGACUGUGUAACAGCACUUGGGGUCUAUAAUAUGACAGCUAAAAGCUUUAUAGUCAU